rnacentral:rRNA from 1 species
AACGGCCAUACCAUGCUGAAUAUACCGGUUCUCGUUAGAUCACCGAAGUCAAGCAUCAUUGGGCGCGGUCAGUACUUGGGUGGGUGACCACCUGGGAACACU